UACGAGGGGGGCGAGCGUUGUUCGGAAUUAUUGGGCGUAAAGGGCGCGUAGGCGGUCGGAUAAGUCUCAUGUGAAAUCUUCGGGCUCAACUCGAAGUCUGCACGAGAAACUGUCCGGCUUGAGUGUGGGAGAGGUGAGUGGAAUUCCUGGUGUAGCGGUGAAAUGCGUAGAUAUCGGGAGGAACACCUGUGGCGAAAGCGGCGCACUGGACCAUAACUGACGCUGAGGCGCGAAAGCUAGGGGAG
rnacentral:rRNA from 1 species